AUUGAACGCUGGCGGCAUGCUUUACACAUGCAAGUCGAACGGUAACAGGCCUUCGGGUGCUGACGAGUGGCGAACGGGUGAGUAAUGCAUCGGAACGUACCCAGAGGUGGGGGAUAACGCAGCGAAAGCUGUGCUAAUACCGCAUGUGAUCUGAGGAUGAAAGCGGGGGACCGAGCAGCAAUGUUUGGCCUCGCGCCUUUGGAGCGGCCGAUGUCGGAUUAGCUAGUUGGUGGGGGAAAGGCCUACCAAGGCGACGAUCCGUAGCUGGUCUGAGAGGACGACCAGCCACACUGGGACUGAGACACGGCCCAGACUCCUACGGGAGGCAGCAGUGGGGAAUUUUGGACAAUGGGCGCAAGCCUGAUCCAGCAAUGCCGCGUGCGGGAAGAAGGCCUUCGGGUUGUAAACCGCUUUUGGCAGGAACGAAACGGUGUCCGCUAAUACCGGGCGCUAAUGACGGUACCUGCAGAAUAAGCACCGGCUAACUACGUG
rnacentral:rRNA from 1 species